rnacentral:rRNA from 1 species
UACAGAGGAGCCAAGCGUUGUCCGGAUUGACUGGGCGGUAAAGCGCACGGCAGGCGGACGCGCGCGUGGGGUGGUGAAAUCUGGCCGCGUUAACGGCCAGGGGCCAUCCCAUACGGCGGCCGUCUGGAGCGCUGCAGGAGGUCGGUGGAAUUGCCGGUGUAGUGGUGAAAUGCGUAGAGAUCGGCAGGAACACCCAGGGGGAAACCGAGCCGGACUGGGCAGCGUGCUGACGCUGAGGUGCGAGAGCGUGGGAGCGACGG